rnacentral:rRNA from 1 species
CCGGCGCACGGGUGAGUAACACGUAUGCAAUCCACCUGUAACAGGGGGAUAACCCGGAGAAAUCCGGACUAAUACCCCAUAAUAUGGGCGCUCCGCGUGGAGAGCCCAUUAAAGAGAGCAAUUUUGGUUACAGACGAGCAUGCGCUCCAUUAGCCAGUUGGCGGGGUAACGGCCCACCAAAGCGACGAUGGAUAGGGGUUCUGAGAGGAAGGUCCCCCACAUUGGAACUGAGACACGGUCCAA